rnacentral:rRNA from 1 species
CAGGCCUAACACAUGCAAGUCGAGCGGACUUAUCCUUCGGGAUAGGUUAGCGGCGGACGGGUGAGUAACACGUAGGCAACCUGCCUGUAAGAUCGGGAUAACUACCGGAAACGGUAGCUAAGACCGGAUAGCUGGUUUCUCCGCAUGGGGGAAUCAUGAAACAUGGGGCAACCUGUGGCUUACGGAUGGGCCUGCGGCGCAUUAGCUAGUUGGUGGGGUAAUGGCCCACCAAGGCGACGAUGCGUAGCCGACCUGAGAGGGUGAUCGGCCACACUGGGACUGAGACACGGCCCAGACACCUACGGGAGGCAGCAGUAGGGAAUCUUCCGCAAUGGGCGCAAGCCUGACGGAGCAACGCCGCGUGAGUGAUGAAGGUUUUCGGAUCGUAAAGCUCUGUUGCCAAGGAAGAACGCCUCGGAGAGUAACUGCUCUGAGGGUGACGGUACUUGAGAAGAAAGCCCCGGCUAACUACGUGCCAGCAGCCGCGGUAAUACGUAGGGGGCAAGCGUUGUCCGGAAUUAUUGGGCGUAAAGCGCGCGCAGGCGGUCUUUUAAGUUUGGUGUUUAAGCCCGGGGCUCAACCCCGGUUCGCACUGAAAACUGGGAGACUUGAGUGCAGGAGAGGAAAGCGGAAUUCCACGUGUAGCGGUGAAAUGCGUAGAGAUGUGGAGGAACACCAGUGGCGAAGGCGGCUUUCUGGACUGUAACUGACGCUGAGGCGCGAAAGCGUGGGGAGCAAACAGGAUUAGAU